AUUGAACGCUGGCGGCAGGCCUAACACAUGCAAGUCGAACGGUAACGAGGAAGAAGCUUGCUUCUUUGCUGACGAGUGGCGGACGGGUGAGUAAUGUCUGGGAAACUGCCUGAUGGGAGGGGGAUAACUACUGGAAACGGUAGCUAAUACCGCAUAACGUCGCAAGACCAAAGAGGGGGACCUUCGGGCCUACUUGCCAUCGGAUGUGCCCAGAUGGGAUUAGCUAGUAGGUGGGGUAACGGCUCACCCUAGGCGACGAUCCCCUAGCGUGGUCUGAGUACGGAUGACCAGCCACACUGGGAACUGAGACACGGGUCCAGACUCCUACGGGAGGCAG
rnacentral:rRNA from 1 species